AGGUUGCUACAAGAUUACCACGGUUUUCAGCCAUGCUCAGACGGUGGUUCUUUGUGUAGGCUGUUCAACAGUGUUGUGCCAGCCAACAGGAGGAAAGGCCAGACUCACAGAGGGGUGUUCAUUUAGAAGAAAGCAACACUAAUGAUCCACACAACCUCUUGAAUUUGUGUUAUAUCGCAGAAAGCCUUAUCAGUUCAGUAAUUCCAGUUAUCUACCAAGAUAAUGUAAUUAUGCUUAAUUUUGUAAGGUUUACAACAGUGAUGUCCUAUUUUGGUGUCAGUUUUUCAAUAAAGUUUUGAUUAUGGGCAAA